GUGAGAGCCAAUGUUUAUUAAAUGCUUGCUCUGUGCCAAGCACUGUGCUAAGAACUCUGUUGCACUGUGAGGGCAGUUUGUGUAAGGGCUGGGAACAUGGCCUAAGUGACACACGACUGAGUUCAAACCCAACCUUGCUACUCACUAGCUCUGUGACCUUGGAUAAUUACUUACCCUUUCUGUGCCUUAGUUACUUCAUUAAUAAAGUGGGAAUAAUAAUAGCACCCACCUGAUGAAGUCGUUUGAAGAUUAAGUGCCUUCACGUAUGUAAAGCUCUUAGAAGAGUGUCUGCCUUGUGGUAAGCAAUAGAUAAGUUUUUGCUGUUACUACUUUGUUGAAUCCUCACACAAAGCUCUGAAGUAGAUAUUCGUCUCUGAGGCUCAAAGAAGUUGAAUGACUUGCUCAAGGUCCCAGGUCUAUUUGAUUGACAGCAUGGGUGCCUUCUAAGGUCCUCUGUGGAGGAAGAAGCUACAGAACUCGCCUGCUCCCCACCCCAGGUCCAUUCCUGUUUGGAAACUCCAAAGCUGCUUCAUGGACAGCAGGAACAAAGGUGGAUCUCUGUCCUGCCUCUGAGGCCCGGCAUGCCUCUCGGGGCCAGGCUGCCUGGUGGCUUCAGGCCCAGCCAGAAGGCCCCUCCCACCGACUCUGGCAGCACCCAGACCUGGGAACCUCCCAGAUGCCUCACCCCACACCACUGCCCUAGGGCUCCCCCGGGGCCUCCGCCUUCCUCUCUAAUCUCCCCUCCUGGGCAAGAUGCUGGCUGCCGAGACUGCAGGGACCCUUUCCAUCUCAGGGUAAACAAACUGUGGCUUCAGCCCAGCCCUCUGCCAGCUUGCUGCACCCCCACCCCCACCGCAAUCCGCAGUGCACAGUCGCUCUGUUCUCCUGCCAACUUGGCAGCUCGUCUCUGCUGUUACUAUCAACACCUCCAAGGGAAAAGGGAGAGGAGUCAGCUCUGAUCGCCUGGCGCACUGAACAGCAAAUUCGUGUCAGAGCCAGUCCUGGAAUGUCUCCCAAGCUCCCAAGGCUCCUGCUGGGGAAGGAAAGGACUCCUGGGCCCCAGUUGGGAAGAAGAGAGAACCCAUAUCCUCAGGGACCAAGUGUCCCCCGGAGCAAGGCCUAUCCCCAGCACAAGAAAUCUGAAAACCACCACCAGAGACCUUCCUGAUAGAAACCCUCAGGUCCCCGGAAGGCCAGCUGAGUUUCCAGGGGCCAGGAAACAGGAAAAGAGAAUUCAUUCAGUGGGCCGGGAUGUAAAUAAGCGGCAAGAGGCUGCGCCAUUCUGGGCUGCACCUGUGAGCAUCCCUCAGCUGAAGCCCUGUCAGCGUUUCCAUGACAAACUCGUAUUUCUGGAUGCCUCUCUUCCAGCUUCAAGAGCAUGCCUUGUGGUGAGACUUGACACUGAAAAUGCUUUCAUAAUUUUUUCCCCUAAAAAAGGUUGCACACUCUAAAAAUCCACCUGCUCAGUAUAUGUGUUUGCUUUUCAUUCUGAGAGUUUUGUGGGUAUUUUAUUUUUAUGGUAUAUAUGCAAACAUAUGAUAUACACGUGGGAGUUCUGUGCUGGAGAGCUGUCAUGGGAAAUACACAACCACACACAGCAUGAUAAGAUGUCUCCCCUCCCUAAAACGUCUCCCACAUCCAUUUGCUUGUCCCAAAGCUUGAAAUUCUACCACUAGAGAUUUACUACUUUUGAACUUGAAUGAUUAUCCAUCCCUAAGAGUCUACUGUGACAAUGAGCCAACCCC
rnacentral:lncRNA from 1 species